AUUGAACGCUGGCGGCGUGCUUAACACAUGCAAGUCGUGCGGUAACAGGCGUAGCAAUACGUGCUGACGAGCGGCGAACGGGUGCGUAAUACAUGGGAAUCUGCCUUUUAGUGGGGAAUAACCCGGCGAAAGCCGGGCUAAUGCCGCAUAAGAUCUUCGGAUGAAAGCGGGGAGUCGUAAGACCUCGCGCUGAUAGAUGAGCCACUGCCGGAUUAGUCAGUUGGUGAGGUAACGGCUCACCAAGGACGACGAUCCGUAGCUGGUCGUGAGAGGACGGCCACGCCACACUGGGACGUGAGACACGGCCCACGACU
rnacentral:rRNA from 1 species